rnacentral:rRNA from 1 species
AGAGUUUGAUUAUGGCUCAGGACGAACGCUGGCGGCGUGCCUAACACAUGCAAGUCGAGCGAGAAAUCACCUGAUGAAUUUUCGGAUGAUUCAGGUGAUGGACAGCGGCGGACGGGUGAGUAACGCGUAGGUAACCUGCCUCAUACAGGGGGACAACACCGGGAAACCGGUGCUAAUACCGCAUAAGACCCCAGUAUCGCAUGAUACAGAGGUCAAAGGAGCAAUCCGGUAUGAGAUGGACCUGCGUCCGAUUAGCUAGUUGGUGGGGUAAAGGCCCACCAAGGCGACGAUCGGUAGCCGAACUGAGAGGUUGAUCGGCCACAUUGGGACUGAGACACGGCCCAGACUCCUACGGGAGGCAGCAGUGGGGAAUAUUGCGCAAUGGGGGAAACCCUGACGCAGCAACGCCGCGUGAAGGAUGAAGGCCUUCGGGUUGUAAACUUCUUUGAUUGGGGAAGAAGAAAGUGACGGUACCCAAAAAACAAGCCACGGCUAACUACGUGCCAGCAGCCGCGGUAACACGUAGGUGGCGAGCGUUGUCCGGAAUUACUGGGUGUAAAGGGCGUGUAGGCGGGGUAGCAAGUCAGAUGUGAAAUUCCAGGGCUCAACCCUGGAGCUGCAUCUGAAACUGCUGCUCUUGAGUGUCGGAGAGGAAAGUGGAAUUCCUAGUGUAGCGGUGAAAUGCGUAGAGAUUAGGAGGAACACCAGUGGCGAAGGCGGCUUUCUGGACGAUAACUGACGCUGAGGCGCGAAAGCGUGGGGAGCGAACAGGAUUAGAUACCCUGGUAGUC